rnacentral:rRNA from 1 species
CCUACGGGAGGCAGCAGUGGGGAAUUUUGGACAAUGGGCGAAAGCCUGAUCCAGCAAUGCCGCGUGAGUGAAGAAGGCCUUCGGGUUGUAAAGCUCUUUUGUCAGGGAAGAAACGGUGAGAGCUAAUAUCUCUUGCUAAUGACGGUACCUGAAGAAUAAGCACCGGCUAACUACGUGCCAGCAGCCGCGGUAAUACGUAGGGUGCAAGCGUUAAUCGGAAUUACUGGGCGUAAAGCGUGCGCAGGCGGUUUUGUAAGUCUGAUGUGAAAUCCCCGGGCUCAACCUGGGAAUUGCAUUGGAGACUGCAAGGCUAGAAUCUGGCAGAGGGGGGUAGAAUUCCACGUGUAGCAGUGAAAUGCGUAGAUAUGUGGAGGAACACCGAUGGCGAAGGCAGCCCCCUGGGUCAAGAUUGACGCUCAUGCACGAAAGCGUGGGGAGCAAACAGGAUUAGAUACCCUGGUAGUCCACGCCCUAAACGAUGUCUACUAGUUGUCGGGUCUUAAUUGACUUGGUAACGCAGCUAACGCGUGAAGUAGACCGCCUGGGGAGUCGGUCGCAGAUUAAAACUCAAAUGAAAUUGACGGCUGGAGACGACGACGACGACGACGAGGAGGGAGGAGG